rnacentral:lncRNA from 1 species
UCUUCCAGCACCGAAUAUAAUACCGCAUCCGUCAAACAUCCUCUGAUCACCGAGCAUGCUUUCUUCUCCAACGAUGUCCACUGUCUAUCUGUCAUUCCCUCAGGCUUCUCAUCCAAAGCCUGAUCCAGAUCUGCUUGCACCAGAAGAUCCUCCACCCAAAUUUUCCACAUGGAAAAAUUUUCCUUGCCAUCAAACUUCUCGAGAUCGACCUUCAUAUUGCUGCCCAUGACUGGAUCCAAGCCAAACAAGCAAUAUAAAAUCAAGAAGUGUAGAAUAUACCUUGAUGGUACCUUGCUGAAAAUUUUCAGCACUUGGGAUCUUCAACUUCUCAUGCU